GCCGAUCUAGGCCGCAACCUGGUCUUCCAGCCGCGCUUCCGCGGGAUUUUCUUUUGUCGCGAUGCCAGCUCUUCUAAGUGCCUCAGAACUCCGAGAAUCUGCAAACAUCUCUCUUCUUGCACAGCUGUCUGUUCUCUCUCGGCAGCCGCCCGACACUGGGGCUGCACGGCCUUGCUUCUUCACGGACAUGUGGAGAUGGAUGGAAACUUCUCCUGUGGUCAGCACCUUGGAUUCUACAGCAGCCAGCCAGCUGGUCCCUCCCCUACACUGCCUCUCCAGCUCUCCCUGCUGCCAGUGCAGAGCCCUGCUGUUCUGGACUUCUAAUGAGGUGUGCAUAAACUGGAAGCUGUCUAUUAGGAACACCUGUGUGAUAUCAGCUUGCGUGGGAGAACCUGGUGCUGGAGCCUGAGUGUUUUGUCUGCCUCCCGGUUCUCACCCUUAAGUCCAGGAACUGCCAAGCAAGUCCCAAGCCUGACAGUCAGUUUUCUCGGGAGAGCUUGGAUCUGAGUGCGCUGAGUUGUCUCAGUGAUGGUAAGUUAGGGCUAGGGGCCUGGAACCUAUAGCCAGGGUUAAGGGGUUUUAUGUUUAUGCAAAUAGAGCUCUCAACCUUUCUUGUCACCUCUCUUUGUUUUAGAUCCUAUUAGUGUUGUCCAGGAACUCUAGGAGCAGAAAAUGGAGAGUGAGGCCAUCAGAGGAAGUGUAAUUGGAGCUGUGGCUGUCCCUGCAGGCUGCUCAGAGCAUUGAUGACCGCUCCUCGCCCUUGGAAGAAUUUGGAUCCACACUGGCUGUAGCCUGUUCCUCCAGCCCAGCCUUGCCCACCCCCUGACAGCACAGUUAGCUCAUCAGUGGGCAGAUUCACGGAGGAGCACAAGGCCUCCUGACACAGUCGCCUUCCAAAUGCAUGUGAACUUAGGAGAACAUUUUAGGUCUAAAUGAUCACAGUGUGUACCUUUCUGAAGAAAAGGCAUUUAGAAAUAUAGUGUUUUUGUGUUCCAAGUUAAAAAACAGUGUCACUACUAAAGAAUUAGGAUUACAGACUUUGAUUUGUAAAAUAAUACAAUUAAAUACAGUAGGUUUAAAGGUUACUUGUAUUUGGAUAAUACUAGGCAUUUUAAAAUAAAACUCCCUCAAAGUGGAGUUCAUUGGGGGAAUUAGAAACUAUUGCCACGUAAAUAAAAUUGUGUGUUUUAGAAUGGUACUGUGUAUCUGAAAUAAUUUUUGGAGAUUUAUUAG
rnacentral:lncRNA from 1 species